UGAAGGCCUAUGUAUCUUAUCUUGCCUACCUGUGGAUCUUAUGGGUCUUCUAACAGUAAGCAGUUCCAGGAACUGCCCAUCUUUGCUACAGACGCACACUGCUCAGCCUUCAGUGUGUCAGGCUGCUCUUCAGAAUGACUCCCAGUGCAGAAUUGAUGUUCUCAGGACUACAGUCAUACUCUGCUGCUGCAGGGAGAAGGUCUGAAGUUGUGUUGAGCUAAGUAAUAAAGCUCUGCAGCAGUCUCUGAAGCAAUAUCUCAAAUAACAAAGGAGCAAAGAUCCUUGCCUGCAAAUGAACUCUGUUUCUAUUAAAAGUUUUAACACUGAUAGUACAUCAGUUUGUUGCUAGGUUCCGUAGAUGGCACUUUCUUUCUUUAUUAAGGAGUUGAACCACAGAGCCUCUUGCAGGGGUUGGCAACAGCAUGGCCUAGAUGGUGAGUGGACAUUGUAUGGAAUAUAAUUUAAGAAUUACACCUGAUUUGUUUAACCUAUGAACCACAUGUGGCCCAGCCCAUCUUGUACUGCAGCUACACACUGCCCUGAGCUAUCAUGACAGCAGCUUUGCCCUACUGAGCGGCCUAUGUAUAUGCAGCCCAAGACAAUUCUUCUUCACUCAACGAGGCCCAGGCAAGCCAAAGGGUUGGACACGUGUGUAUUACACUGUAUAUAUAUAUAUGACACUCUUAAAAUAUUGUCUAGCAUAUAGAGUACUUAUGAUCACUUAUCCUUUUUAUAAAAUAUGUGUGAAAUUGGAUUGGAACAAUAAGAAAGAAAAAGAAUCACAGGAAAGAUGCUCCGGAGCCUUCACUCAUUUUGCAAACCAAGUUCCAAGUCUGACCCCUGUGCUUUUGACUGAGUCUUUCUUCUCUUCAAGAGUAUUUUUCAAGGAAGUUCACAAGGUGGUGCUGUAUCAUCUUCCACGUCAGAGCUUGGAAAACUGUUUCGUAUUGACCAAAACCAGAAUGGAACAGAUUCACCCUUCCAGACUGAUUUCAACCCAUCUGGUUUGCUUUUGGUUUGGUGUUUUGGUGGUUUUUGUUUUAAUUCUUUUUUCUUUUCUUUUUCUUGUUUUUCUUUGAGGCUCUGAGAAUUGACUGUUGGUACAGCUCUAGGAAAGGGAUUAACUCUUCCUGCUGAUCUCUGAAGUGAUGAUGUACAAGAAAUUAAAUCUGAUUUUUCUUGGGAUACAUUCAGAAACCUAUGAAGGUUUCUCCUAUCUAGGCACACUCCUAAAUAUUUGCUUAGUACUCUCUUAUUUUAGUUACUCAAGGGAAAUGCAGUGUAGAAUAACUGCAUGACACAAAGUUACAUCACAAGCAAUAGAAAAAAAAUGUUGUGCACAUUUGAAUGGCUAUAGGGUUGAAAUUUUGGUCAGGGGAAGGAUGUGGACGGACUAUAGUGUAAACUUGUUUCUUCACUUCAAAAUGUAUUCGGCAUAUCCCAAAGUUUUUUACAAAGAAUCUGCUUUGUCAUUGGAUGCUCUGAACAUGCUUGUUGCAGGCAAAGUAUUUAAUUUCUUGCAACACACUCAUAUCUGGAGAAAAUUCUUUCACUCCCCUCUCCUGGGGUAAUUUCAAAUUAUUUCACUCCAUGGGUUUCUUUUCAGUUAAUUUUAGUAUAAUCCUCUUUUUACAUUUUUCUCAGUGCUGCCCCCCACCUUCUUAUUCAGCUGAUUUAUUAUGUGCUAACAGCUACUUUGAAAGAAGAAAAUUCAAGUAUUAUGAGUGAGGCAUACCUCUUGCUCUCUAAAAAUGGAAGGAGGCCAUACAUGCUCAUAGAAGACAUUAAAAUGCUUAUAUUGUUUGUUUUAGUGUAAAGUAAUGUAAUGUUUUAAUAGUGUUGUUUUAAUGUAACUAUUAAUGUACUGCAUCUCAUAUCUUGCAUUUUGGUGCUAUGAGAUUAUAGUUAGAGUAGCCAAAUAGUAUGAGAGGAAAAAUGUUCUUCAUAAACUGUUCAGGAAAGGACGACACUCAGCCCAGAAAUGUUUCUAGAUUCAUUCCUUUCUAAAUGUGUAAAUAAGAGCGAGCCCACAUAGGUAUUGUGUGGUUUGUACUUACUAAAGCAGUCACGACUGACAAAAGCCUUUCCAGCCUGGAGAUGCUGUGUAGUUUGCUCCUGGAGAGCAAAUCAUUAAAUAUUCUUUUUGAAUGCUUUCUGUGUAUGAAGAGUGUAUUUCCCAAGGAACAAUAAGGGAAGAAUGACUCUUUCCUACCAGUCAGCUCUUGGUACAUACAUACCUGCAGAACACCUUAGGUAAAAUCAUUUAUGUCUAAAAACUGUGAAUCACCACAUUCCACAGCUAUUGCUAAAGAUUGCCCUUGUGGACCUGCCAUGUUUCUGUCCCUUGUUCUUAUGAGAAAUGAAAGCUGAGCUCCUAGAAACCUUCCCAGCAGGUUCCGGUUCCAGAAGCCCGCAUCUUUCAACAAUGGAGGAAAAAUGUCUAGGCUUGGAAAGAUUUUUCUUUAAGUCCUAAAUUGUUUCUAAUCAUGAUUUCAGAUGCAUCACAAAGGCUCUAAUUGAGAUCAAAGAGGAUCUAUAAAAUGAUGACUUCCUGGUUUUGAUUUGCAGUUUUCUUUCUCUGUUUCACUUUCCUUCACAUAUUAUAUUACUUUUUAAAAUAAUUCCCAGUAGGACAUCAUCUGUGAGAUGCCUUCCCUCCCAGCCUGUCUAUAGCUCAGCAAUUAAGAUGGAGGAUGCAGUGGAAUUGCCAGGUCACGGCCUGCACCAAUGGUUGAUCAUUAGAUGAGAAGGUGUGGCUAAUCCAGGGAGCUCAGGUGCAAGCAAUGCAACCUCAGUGAUUGGAAGGGCCAGGAUACACUCCUCCUCACCCCUCAUUUAAGGGUUAGCAGCUAAGGGAAUAAUACCUUUUUGGAUAGAGAUUCUUCUCCUCUUGAGCUAUCACCGGUCAUUGGAAGGGGUGAACUGAUUUUCUAUUUGUUUUUGUUAUGUGUUAUUGCUCUGUAGUGCCUGUAUCCCAUUUGAAGGUACUGUCAUCACCUUCUUUCCCUGUACAGAGGGGAAUGAGGCAGGAGCAUGAACUGGGCCAUUCAGCUCAGCAUUCUUCCUGGUGGUACUGCAGUUCUGGGUCAUCUCAUUUGCACUACUGGCCAAAAACCUCAGUUUGUCUUGAAUCAUUAAACUGUGUAACUAAGGAAAGUAAAGAUGUCACCUACUUCGGGCUGUAAUACUUAACUUCUGAUUUAUUUUGUUACUUAAUGAAGACAAAAGGCCCUGAAGAAAGUUUCUGAUCUCAAUGAAAGUUCAGAGGCAAUAUAUAUUUUUAAUAGAAAUACUAUCUGAGCAAGUGAAAGGUCAUGCUCAGAGAAUGUGAAGUGCUUUUUUUUUUUUUUUUUUUAAGUCAGCAUUUACAGAAGGAAUAAUAUCAUCUGAGAGCAUGACAGAAAAUACUUUUUAAACACUGAGUGAAACACGCUUGUAGCAGCAAUUGAACGUUUUGUUUCAACAGCUCUGCAGAGGUACAUGCAUGUAAGCUCUUUAAGCAUGUUUCAGUAGGAAUUUACCGAUGAGAGGACUGCAGCUGUUGAUCAAAGACCAAUAGGAGACUUUAUUAUAAUCAUUUUUUAAUGUGGGGGAAAGAAAACAUAAGCUAUUAAAAAGUUGCUAGGAGAUAAAUUUCUUUUAAAAUGUCUGUUUUCAAAAAUUCAGCUAUAUUGUACCAGUGUAUUUUAAUUGAUGAAAUAUAUGCUUUUUUUUUUUUAAUAAUUAAGUAAAAGUUUAGCAGAAAGACUUUGUUCCCAUAUAUGUUUUCUGCUGUUCUUUUUUUCCUAAUAUCAUUCCUGGUAUAUGGAACAAUAUUUUCAUUCUAAGUUAAUCAGUCUUUUUAAAUAUGAAAUUAUUUCUAUUUUACAUAUUAAGAAAAACAACAACCCUGAUGAAAACUAAUGAUUGUAUCUUCCCCAUUUCCUAUGAAAACAAGAAGUAAACAAUAAAGCUGUUUUAUAAGUAAUUGCAUGUUUGAUAAGCUGUAAAAUUAAAAAUGUGCUUAUUUAAAUAUAGUAUUUUUUGUUUUGCUUUAAUUUUUUUUCUUUAUUCAAACUAAUUGCUUUCUUGCACUAUUUCAGAAACCCAUUAUUUGGUGGUGUGCAUAGACUACUUGAUUCUCAGAUAGUUCCACCUUCUGUUCAGAGCCUAUUUCAAGCAAAAUUGUUAUGGUUAUUGCAUUAUACAGAGUUAAAUACCUCAUAUAUACCCUCCCAAAGUCAGGCAGUUGAGUCCAACAGGCAUUCUUGCAUUCAUAUUCUGAGUAUGGAAAAAUGUUUCACUGUAUAACUUAGGGUCUCCUUCUGACACCAAGUCUUCAAUUGCUAGUAUGUUGGCUUCAUCCCAGUGAUUUAUAUAUCAUUUCUAUGUAAAUAGUUCUGAAAGUAAUGCCUCCCUUUUAUUUCCAUGGAAGCUGCAACAGAUACAAAGGGCACAAUAAUACUUUGAUAGAGAAAAUUCUCAGCUACAAACUGCUAUUUUUCAGUACAGUCACCACUGUGAGCUUUGUAUUUUCACCAGUGACAAACACAAGCCUGCAUAUUGCAGCUGUUUAAACUUGUAUCAGUGGAGGUGACCUACCGUCCCCAUUGCUGAAAUGCACCUCCCAUUGUGCUCACGUCCACUGUUUGGUCUCCAUAAAAUUCAGCAAGUAUUGAUGAAUGUCACUAUAUGCCACUUUUUCCAUGUGGAGGAAUUGCAUUACAGCCCUUUGCUUCAUAUGCAUCUCCAUGUUAGACUCUGCUGCCACCUGUCUAAUGACUGUAAAAUGUAUGGUGGGAAGGUUCAACCUUUACCACCAUAUCACCAUCAUCUGCUUCUGAUGUUGUAGGCUAACAUAAUAAAAUAGGAGGCAUUACUUUUGGAGCAUUCUUUGUGCGUGCGUGUGUGUGAACAGUGAAUUGUAAGAAUUUGGAGACAUGAGUGAUUUCUUUAAGAUGCUGCAGAGGUUCCUAAACAUUUGAGAACUGACCCCUACAGGAAAAUUUCUGCGAGAAGUGUUUAAUUUCUUUUUGUGUGUGGUCACUGCAAGUUUGUAUUACCAUAAAGCAUACAGUUUGCUUUUCUUUUUUAACUUAGCUUUUGUUAAUGCAUGAUUAAUGGCAUUGAUUUUUUUGUUUCUGCCUGCUUGUACGUAUAUGCUGAUUGAAAUGGACUUAAUUCAUGCACCUAGGAGUAAAAUGCUCUACACUGCUGUCCAGGAUGCAUACUGUUUCUAAGCAGUACGAAUUCUCCAAGUUAGUUGCAUCACUCUCCAAUGGACUUGCAGAAAUCAUGCUUUCUCCAUCAUAUCUAUCUCAAAUUUGUAUUGGGUUCAGCUGGGACAGAAAUGAUUUUUUUCAUGUCUGAUAUGAUGUUAUGUUUUGGCUUUGUGGUGUUCAGUCAAAGAGCAAUUCUCUAUUGAUUUCAUUUCUCUGCAUGACCCCUUAGCACCAGUUGGGGAUCUGGGUUUGGGAGGGCUGGGCUAUGUCCCAGGAUCCUCAAAACCCUAGGAAUAAAGCAGGAAAGGCAUAUCUCUGGGUGAAAACAAUCCCCUGUGCACCGUUCUCUGCCCCCACCCACCAGCACAGGGUUGGGGCAAUGGCUUUCCCUGAGGAAAAGCAGGCAAGGAAUGAAAAGGGGAAAGAGUAGUCCUUGGGGUGUAAGUUUUGACUGCUGACACAAAGACUCCGUUUGGUUUCUAGUAUAGACUGUAAUUAUUCUCCUUAAGAAUGCUUUCAGAGUUGAGGCCUGUUAUUACUAACCUGCAGGUGCUCUGAAAUGAUCAGCAUGCUUUAAGCCCUAGAUGUGAUCCUCUUGCAUUUAUAAAGUUGUGGUUUUCCUCAUUACUUACGUACAGAGUGUUCUUCCAUUAUUCCAGCCUGUUCCCACUGCUUUGGCUUGUCUUUUCAUUUUCAUUUUGCCAGCCUAAUCUCAACUCUUAUUAUUUGGGUGGGAGGCUUCGUCUGAAUUACUCUGGUUUUCCAUUUCCUCCCUUCCACCUCCCUUACCCCUUUGAAAACUUAUAUUUUGUUUUCUGGAACAUUUCCCAGUGAUUGCAACAGAAGCUAUUUAAUUUCUAGAUGAAGCAAAUAGUUAUUAGCUGGCACAGGACUAAUCCAUCACACAGAUGGGACAAAUGCUUGCCCUCAGCAGGAAGACAUUAAGAACUGUUCAGCAUUCUCCAGAGGCUUUUGGGGUGGCUCUGGGGAAUUGCUUGCAAAUCUCAUGCUAAGAACAUCAAUAACUGUAGCUUCCUUUUUGUUUUCCAUAUUUCAUCCUUUCACUGAAUGCUUGUUUUCUGGUGUAUGUUGGGUUUGAAGUAGCUUGUUGUAAUACAGAAAUGAAAGCUCCCCUUUGUGAUGUAUUGAAAUUGCAUUUCCAAUAUCAGGGUAAAGUGUUAAAAAAUGACUCAUGCAUGCUUUUAAUCAAGGGCAUAAUUGUGUGAAGAGGUUUGAUCUCAUAAAAGCUAGAGGGCCAUAUUUAAGUAAUGAAAGGAACCUUUCUAUCAAUUUUGGUGGCUUUUUAUUAGUUGGUUUGUUUAUUUGCUGGUUU